UGCAAGCGGGGAACCUUGAGCUACCUACGCCAGCGUUCUGGAUUAUUUUCCAAAUUUGGUUCCUGAUAAUCUGAGAAAGCUAUGCGCUCAGUAAGAGCAGGGACCUUGUUUUAUCAAACUUUGAUCUUUCAUUAAGCACACAGUGGGCAUUCAACAAACUUGUGUAAACUUGGAAUCAGAUUUAGCCCAGGCCGGUGCGGUGGCUCCUUCCUGUAAUCCCAGCACUUUGGGAAGCCUAGGAGGGCGGAUCGCUUGAACUCAGGUGUUCGAGACCAGCCUGAGCAACAUAGCGAGGCUCCGUCUCUACAAAAAAUACAAACACUAGCCGGCCCUGUGGUGCAGACCUGUAGUCCCAGCUACUGAAGAGGCUGAGGUGGGAGGAUCCCCUGAGCCCAGGCGGUCGAGGCUGCAGUGAGCUGAGAUCGGGCCUCUCCAUUCCAGCCCGGGCGACAAAAAAUCCAGCUAAGUAAAAAUUGGCAAGAUCCUGUGACAAGAUCCUGUGACAAGAUCCUGUGAUCAAGACAAAGUUUUGCCCCCAAAGGACUUGAGGCUAUCUGGGAAUUCCAUGUUUGACAGAAGCGCUGACAGCAUAACCAAGCAAACAAGAAGGUAUUCAGGGACGCUGAAACGGAUCUUCAAAGAAGACUCAGUGGGUGAUUUUUAAUUUCUGUGUAGUAUUAUAGAGCUUAAUGCAGAACAUACCAAAACCUUGGAGAGGUAAUGAUAGGGUCAUGCAUUUCAUAAGGCAGAGUAAUGCCCUGCAACAACAAAAUAAAGUCAAAGAGUUCUA
rnacentral:lncRNA from 1 species